rnacentral:lncRNA from 10 species
AAUCAGACAGGAUGAGAGGAGGAUAAGGCUAAAGACAGAGGCUCCAGCUACCUUGGUGACAAGGAAUGGAGGAGAAAAGGAACAGGAAAUUUUAAUAAGAUUAGGAGGGCUUGCUUUUCUGCCAAGUGAGUCACAGAUUUAGCGUGAUGUUGAGCCCCACAGCCUGAUAACAGAGAGUAUAAUGAUGAUUAUUGCGUCAAUAAAUUUUUUUUUUGAGAUGGAGACUCACUCUGUCACCCCGGCUGCAGUGCAGUGGUGUGAUCUCAGCUCACUGCAACCCCUGCCUCCCAGGUUCUAGUGAGUCUCCUGCCUCAGCCUCCCGAGCAGCUGGGACUACAGCCGCUUUCACAGGAGCGAUAAAUUGGAAAUGUUAUCUGGCUUGAUAUGCCAGUUUUUCUGAGAAAAUCACUCUGCCAGUGGUGACAGAAUGGAAGAGCUGAAAACAUCUUCUUUUUUCAAAGUCAUAUGUCACGAACCAAGGAGACUCCAAAAAAUAAAUUAUGGAAGAUUAUGACCACUGCUGCCAAGGAUACAGUGAAAUAGGUACAUCUUGUAUGCCCAGUAAUGUUGAAAAUUAAUAUAACCUUAUUUAAAAAGCAAUUUGGAGAUGUUGAAAGAAAGCCUGAAGAUUACCACCAUGCUUCAUGAUUCUAUCCAGGUGUCCCACAUAUGAGAGCCAAUUCC